rnacentral:rRNA from 1 species
CCUACGGGUGGCAGCAGUAGGGAAUCUUCCACAAUGGGCGAAAGCCUGAUGGAGCAACGCCGCGUGGGUGAAGAAGGUCUUCGGAUCGUAAAACCCUGUUGUUAGAGAAGAAAGUGCGUGAGAGUAACUGUUCACGUUUCGACGGUAUCUAACCAGAAAGCCACGGCUAACUACGUGCCAGCAGCCGCGGUAAUACGUAGGUGGCAAGCGUUAUCCGGAUUUAUUGGGCGUAAGGGGAGCGCGGGCGGUCUUUUAAGUCUGAUGUGAAAGCCUUCGGCUUAACCGGAGUAGUGCAUUGGAAACUGGGAGACGUGAGUGCAGAAGAGGAGAGUGGAACUCGAUGUGUAGCGGUGAAAUGCGUAGAUAUAUGGAAGAACACCAGUGGCGAAAGCGGCUCUCUGGUCUGUAACUGACGCUGAGGUUCGAAAGCGUGGGUAGCAAACAGGAUUAGAUACCCCUGUAGUC